AGAAAUAUUUAUAUAUUUUAUCUAUUUUUGUUGUUGUUGUUUUGGUUUGGGGUUUUUUGUUGUUGUUUAUUUUGGGGUUUUUUUUUUAAUAUAUCACCCAACAGGACCCCUGCUGGCAACGGCAGCUUUAAGUGACGAAAGAAAAUCUUCUGGGGAGAAAAUGUUCCACCUGAUUUUGAGAUAAAACCCCGCUUAUCAAACCCGCCCUACCCAACCUGGGGCAGGACGAGAUUCCUGCUGUGCCACCAUCGAUGCCAAGGAUGGAUCCAGCCCAGCCCCGAAGCUUUUGGGCUCUCGGUGCUGCAGGGAGGGCAAUGCCCAGCCUGGCCCCGGGACGGGGGGUUCUAUUCCCAAAUUCUGUGUGUUUUACCCAAAUUCCUCUUCAUUAAUGGGCAUUUUUGGGAUUCAGACUCUGCCAGCAUGCGGUGACUCGGUGAAUGCCAGUUUGCUGUUGGCAUUCCGGGCACCUCCCACACUGCCCGGGGACAAAUCCCAUUCCCAGGGGGGAUAAAUCCCAUUUCCAGGGGGGACAAAUAUUUCUGUGGGGGAUGAACCCCAUUUCUCUGGGGGAUAAAUCCCAUUUCCAGGGGAAAAAAAUCCCAUUUCCCUGAGGGAUAAAUCCCAUUUCCAGGGGGGAUGAACCCCACUUUCACCCCUCUGUGCAUAAUCCGGCCGGGACAAGGGACAAUCCCCACCGGGGCUGCAAAUCCUUUGGAAAACACCUCAAAGACCAAAAACCAAAAAAAAGGCCAAGCUGCCAAACCCCUUUAAUGCCUCCUGGCAACGCCAAGGGCACUGAGUGGCUGCUGGCCUGGGUUUAAUGUUUAAAUCCUGGUUUAAAAAAGGGAUUUUCCAUCCUGCCCGAGGCUGAGCUGCCGCACAAAAUCACAUUCCCAGGCUGGGUGGGCUUUUCAGCAUCCCUGGAUACAUCUUCCUGCUCGUGGUACAGCAAGAAAUAAUUUGGUUUGGGUCUUAAAUGUAUUUUUUUGCAGCGAUUAUGGAGUUACCCCAGGAAUAAUCAUAAUGCAGGCAGGAGAUGCUGAACUUUCCUACAGCCAAAAAGGCCAAAGGAGCCCCUGUUGAAGCCAGAAAUUCUUCUGUUGCCACCUAGACACGGAUUUGUGUGCCACAAAAAUCAAAUUCAUCUCUUUGGGUUCUUAGUUAUGCUUUUUCUCCCCUUCCCCUGCAGAAAUCUGGGUUUAUAUCCAGAAAUAUUUAAAUUAAAGGCCCCUUCAAGCUCAGUGGUUUGGGUGGGAUCGUUUGCGAGGCCCUAAAUAAAACCUCGGGGGGAUGCACCCUGGCGAUGGGGAGGAAUUCCAGGUUUGGGAUUUGCUCCUUCUUGGAAAAAUCCGGGCUCAAGGAGCCAGGUUCGGGUUCGCUGCCUCCCUCUGGGGGCAGGGAUGAGAUCAGGGGGGUUAAAAAUAGCCAAAAGGCUGGGAAAAACAACCGGCUCCUUGGGUGCUCGGCAAAAUGAGCCAUGGGGGAGGAAAAUCCAGCCAACUGGGCAUUUUUAAAAUAUAUUUUUGGAGAUUCGCACAGCCGGCGGAUGCUGGAAAUGAGGAAUUAAUUCAGGUGGUUUGUGGCGGAGCUGGUUUUUAUCCGUGCUGGAGGAACCCUGCGCUCCCCCAGCGGAAAAUGGAGGCUGAGAGCAGCAAUUACGUGCUGAGCCUUGGCAAGGAGGAGGUUUCGCUCGGAGGGGAAAAACCAACACCCAAGUGCCAAAAUAUCACUGGAAAUAACCUCGGGGAGGUCCCCGGGGAGGCGGAGAGGGAGAGAAGGGAGGUGGGGAAGGUGGAGGAACAGAAAUUCCAUUUGCAUAAACAGAGACACUUUGUCAACCCCCAGCUGCACAUCAAGCAGGAGCAUGGAUUAUUAAUGAAUUUUUAAUUUCUUCUGGAAGUCCUCAGGGCUGAAGCCUCCCCUCCAGCGCAUCCAGGGCAGCUCUUUAAUGGAUUUUUGGCAUCCCAGGGUAAAAUUUCUGUCAGCCUGGAGGCAGGAGCUGCGUUGAGCUCCUCAGGAGGUUUGGUCCUUCUGCAUCCAGGGUGGAAAUAACGCCCCGGGCCCGGGGCCAGCUCAGCAAUCACUCAUGGCAUGAGUUGUGCUCAGGAAAUGCUGACUGCGGUUUUGGGGAGGGAGGAAAGUUCGUCUCCUUCGCGGCCUCUCAUUGAUUUUGUGUUGGUUUUUAUUGCUCGGGUUCAUUGAAAGUGUUUUUGUUCAGCCAGCCCUGGCUUUGCAAAGGCAGGGUGAAUAUUUAACCCAUUUGGGGUUAAAAUGUCCGUCCAUUGGGGUUAAAAUGUUCGUUUGUUGGGGUUAAAAUGUUCAUUUAUUGGGGUUAAAAUGUUCAUCUAUUGGGGUUAAAAAUGUUUACCCAUUGGGGCUGUAAAUGUCCAUCCAUUUGGAUUAAAAUGUUCAUUUUUUGGGGUUAAAAUGUCCAUCCAUUGGGGUUAAAAUGUUCAUCUAUUGGGGUUAAAAAUAUUCAUCCAUGGCGUUAUAAAUGUCCAUCCAUUUGGAUUAAAAUGUUCUUUUGUUGGGGUUAAA